AUACGGAGGGUGCAAGCGUUACUCGGAAUCACUGGGCGUAAAGCGCGCGCAGGCGGCUUGAUAAGUUGGAUGUGAAAGCCUACGGCUCAACCGUAGAACUGCAUCCAAAACUGUCAGUCUAGAGUGUGGGAGAGGAAGAUGGAAUUAGUUGUGUAGGGGUAAAAUCCGUAGAGAUAACUAGGAAUACCAAAAGCGAAGGCAAUCUUCUGGAACACUACUGACGCUGAGGCGCGAAGGCGUGGGGAGCAAACAGGAUUAGAAACCCCGGUAGUCC
rnacentral:rRNA from 1 species